GGCUCGGUAGUUCAGUUGGUUAGAACGCUAGCCUGUCACGCUAGAGGUCGUGGGUUCGACCCCCAUCCGAGUCGCCA
rnacentral:tRNA from 1 species